GAUGAACGCUGACGGCGUGCCUAAUACAUGCAAGUCGAGCGAACGGACGAGAAGCUUGCUUCUCUGAUGUUAGCGGCGGACGGGUGAGUAACACGUGGAUAACCUACCUAUAAGACUGGGAUAACUUCGGGAAACCGUAGCUAAUACCGGAUAAUAUUUUGAACCGCAUGGUUCAAAAGUGAAAGACGGUCUUGCUGUCACUUAUAGAUGGAUCCGCGCUGCAUUAGCUAGUUGGUAAGGUAACGGCUUACCAAGGCAACGAUGCAUAGCCGACCUGAGAGGGUGAUCGGCCACACUGGAACUGAGACACGGUCCAGACUCCUACGGGAGGCAGCAGUAGGGAAUCUUCCGCAAUGGGCGAAAGCCUGACGGAGCAACGCCGCGUGAGUGAUGAAGGUCUUCGGAUCGUAAAACUCUGUUAUUAGGGAAGAACAUAUGUGUAAGUAACUGUGCACAUCUUGACGGUACCUAAUCAGAAAGCCCCGGCUAACUACGUG
rnacentral:rRNA from 1 species